rnacentral:rRNA from 1 species
AGAAUCAACGCUGGCGGCGUGCCUAACACAUGCAAGUCGCACGAGAAAGGGUAGCAAUACCUGAGUAAAGUGGCGCACGGGUGAGUAACACGUGAAUUAUCUACCUCCGAGUGGGGAAUAACUGAGAGAAAUCUUAGCUAAUACCGCAUAACACUUACGAGUCAAAGCAGCAAUGCGCUUGGAGAGGAGUUCGCGGCCGAUUAGUUAGUUGGCGGGGUAAUGGCCCACCAAGACGAUGAUCGGUAUCCGGCCUGAGAGGGCGCACGGACACACUGGAACUGAAACACGGUCCAGACUCCUACGGGAGGCAGCAGUGGGGGAAUUUUGCGCAAUGGGGGAAACCCUGACGCAGCAACGCCGCGUGGAGGAUGAAAUCCCUUGGGAUGUAAACUCCUUUCGAUAGGGAAGAUAAUGACGGUACCUAUAGAAGAAGCCCCGGCUAACUUCGUGCCAGCAGCCGC